UACGUAGGGCGCAAGCGUUGUCCGGAAUUAUUAGGCGUAAAGAGCUCGUAGGCGGCUUGUCACGUCGGAUGUGAAAGCCCGGGGCUUAACCCCGGGUCUGCAUUCGAUACGGGCAGGCUAGAGUGUGGUAGGGGAGAUCGGAAUUCCUGGUGUAGCGGUGAAAUGCGCAGAUAUCAGGAGGAACACCGGUGGCGAAGGCGGAUCUCUGGGCCAUUACUGACGCUGAGGAGCGAAAGCGUGGGGAGCGAACAGG
rnacentral:rRNA from 1 species